UCAAUAUAUAGAUCAACUGGCCUCGAACUCACAGAGAUCCUACUGCCUAUGUCACCAUGCCUGGCUCAUCCUUGCAUUUAUUAGGAAUUUAGCUUCUGGCUGGAUUACCCAGAGUGAAGUAAAGAUGGCAGCUUGCUCUCUUCUGUCUAAUAACCGCAGCCAAGGACUCCAGCUGUCAGCACAAUUGGCCCUCAUGGUACCUGUCUUCUGGAAGAUUCUUACCAUACCCUAAAGAGCCCACAGGAACCCUGAUGUGUUUAAAUUGUGGACAAGGUGGGUGUAGAGAUAGCAGCUAUAAUAAAGAAGAGACCUUUCUUCUUUACUAAGAAAGAGAAACCUUCUGCUCUUGCUGAGACAAUAGGAAGGAGCCCAGGGAGCAAGACCCCACCAAAGCGUCACACAGGAUGUGGACACUGAUGAGGCCUGAGCUAAGCUGCCCUGGCCUGGUCUUUGACUUUGCCUAUGUCAUCAUGCCUAGGGUUGGAAACUGCCCCAUCCCCGCCAAUGAAGACUCCGGCGUCCUUUCCAGGAAAUCUACAGACAAGAGCAGGAAACUGUUGAAUGGCCUAUUUUUCUUCCCCUGCAAAAUGGUUUUAUUAUUUUGGUUGAACAAAAACAUCCUAAUGUGUUGACGAUGGGGAAGGAAAGAUACCCAGAUCUUAAAAUAGACCUGAUACCCCCGACCUUUGGCUGGAGCAUCCUUGCUUGUAACCUGGGAAAGAAUAUGUGAGAAACCCGAACUCCACCCAUUCUGCCCUCUGGGUUUGAGUUGUCGAAACUCCCUGGUGGCUAAAGGGUACUCUAGAUCAGGGGAAGCAGCCCUCGAAACAGCCUUGUGGCUGCUCUGGGGGGGCCUGUGGUUUCUCUUCAGCCAGUUGGGUGACCUUGAGUAAAUGACCCAACUCCUCUGUUACUUCAAAUCACAUGGGGGCAAGACAAGAGAGACGAGGACCAGGAGAGCCACACAAACCUGGCAUGCUACAGAUGGAGGGCCCCGAACUCUUUGGACUACAUUUCCCAGAAUCCCCGAAUCGCUGUUUUCCUGGUGGGUGCAGCCAAUGGGAGACAGUAGCAGAAGAUUGGCGCUCUGAGGAAGGGAGAAGCCGAGGUGUGAGGUGGAUCUAAUCCCACCCUCUCUGGUUCCAGCUGGAGAUAUUACUCCCUUCUUCUUCUCCUUUGUGCCUUCAGCCCAAGGAAGCAGCAGUUUCGAGCAGAUUGCAAUCUCUGGGUUGCUAAAUCCUCCGGUUCAGGUUUCUAGCUCGUCUGUCAUCUUUAACGCAUCUUAUUGCCUUAAUUCACUAAUGAACUAUUCGGCUUUGGCUCUGGUUUUCUGAUGGGAUUCUGUCUGCUCCAACUACCGUGACAGUCAUCGAAGCAGACAGUGUGCCUCUGUAGCCACAGAUUCCAGCACCCGAGGAUUAAAAACACCUGUACCGAAUACA